rnacentral:rRNA from 1 species
CCUACGGGAGGCAGCAGUGAGGAAUAUUGGUCAAUGGACGAGAGUCUGAACCAGCCAAGUAGCGUGAAGGAUGACUGCCCUAUGGGUUGUAAACUUCUUUUAUAUGGGAAUAAAAUGUUCCACGUGUGGGAUUUUGUAUGUACCAUAUGAAUAAGGAUCGACUAACUCCGUGCCAGCAGCCGCGGUAAUACGGAGGGUCCGAGCGUUAUCCGGAUUUAUUGGGUUUAACGGGAGCGUAGGUGGAUUGGUAAGUCAGUUGUGAAAGGUUGCGGCUCAACCGUAAAAUUGCAGUUGAAACUGGCAGUCUUGAGUACAGGAGAGGUAGGCGGAAUUUGGGGUGGAGCGGUGAAAUGCUUAGAUA